rnacentral:rRNA from 1 species
GACGUAGGAUGCAAGCGUUGUCCGGAUUUAUUGGGCGUAAAGAGCUCGUAGGCGGUCUGUCGCGUCGGUGGUGAAAACUUGGGGCUUAACCCUGAGCUUGCGGUCGAUACGGGCAUGACUGGAGUUCGGCAGGGGAGACUGGAAUUCCUGUUGUAGCGGUGAAAUGCGCAGAUAUCAGGAGGAACACCGGUGGCGAAGGCGGGUCGCUGGGCCGAUACUGACGCUGAGGAGCGAAAGCGUGGGGAGCAAACAGG